AAGGGGAAAAAGAAACGUAGACACGUUGAUGCUAGGAUGUGGAACACAGGCGGAGAACGCUGAUGGUGUAUAAUCGACUUGUAUGAAACGAAGAGUUGUUCGGAGGAAGGAAAAUGGAGUCCAAGCUUGUCUCUACACUCCUCGUUUUCUUCUUUCUCGUGGCCAUCCUAUUUGCUUCAGUUCAGUCCUAUGGAGAUGUGAAACUGGCAAGGAAGAUGGCGGAAAACCAAUAUUGUGAACAUCAAUGCCAAUCAAACGAAGCAUGUAAUGUGCUUUGUGUUCAAGCUGGAUAUUCGGGGGGCAAAUGUAAUAAUAUUGGUUGUUGUUGCAACAGCUAAAUCAGUCAGUUUUAAUGGGAUAAGACGUGAGGAAGUUCAUCUCUACAUUUCUUUGCUUCUUAUCCUUCAAUAUAUCUUUGUGUUGGAAGGAUGUUUAUUGGCCCCAAAUUUUAUGAUUGACUUCUUUUGGCCUUAAUAAACUAUAUCAUUUUAGGGAAAAA